AUAAUACUCCCUCCAUUCGGAUUUACUUGUCAUCAAAAUGGAUGUGUCUAGAACUAAAAUACAUCUAGAUACAUCUAUUUCAAUGACAAGUAUUUUCGGACGGAGGGAGUAGUAG
rnacentral:pre_miRNA from 1 species